GAUGAACGCUGACAGAAUGCUUAACACAUGCAAGUCUUUGGCGAAGCUGUGCUUGCACAGCCUAGCCAAGGCGGACGGGUGAGUAACGCGUAAGGAACUUGCCCUGCAGUCAGGGAUAACAGACGGAAACGACUGAUAAGACCUGGUAAAGUCAGGCGGACUCACGUCCAGCCUGAUGAAAAGAGAUGCUGCAGGAGAGCCUUGCGUCCUAUUAGCUUGUUGGUGGGGUAACGGCCCACCAAGGCGAUGAUAGGUAGCCGGCCUGAGAGGGUGGACGGCCACAAGGGGACUGAGAGACGGCCCUUACUCCUACGGGAGGCAGCAGUGGGGAAUAUUGGACAAUGGGGGAACCCUGAUCCAGCAAUUCUGUGUGCACGAUGAAGGUUUUCGGAUUGUAAAGUGCUUUCAGCAGGGAAGAAAAAAAUGACGGUACCUGCAGAAGAAGCGACGGCUAAAUACGUG
rnacentral:rRNA from 1 species